UACAGAGGGUGCGAGCGUUGUCCGGAAUCACUGGGCGUAAAGGGCGCGUAGGCGGCGCGGUAAGCGUGCGGUGAAAGCCCCGGGCUCAACCUGGGAACUGCAUUCAAAACUGACAAGCUAGAGUAUGGUAGAGGGUGGUGGAAUUUCCUGUGUAGCGGUGAAAUGCGUAGAUAUAGGAAGGAACACCAGUGGCGAAGGCGACCACCUGGACUGAUACUGACACUGAGGUGCGAAAGCGUGGGGAGCAAACAGG
rnacentral:rRNA from 1 species